ACGCACGCUGGCGGCGUGCCUAAUGCAUGCAAGUUGAGCGCUGAAGGUUGGUACUUGUACCAACUGGAUGAGCAGCGAACGGGUGAGUAACGCGUGGGGAAUCUGCCUUUGAGCAGGGGACAACAUUUGGAAACGAAUGCUAAUACCGCAUAAAAACUUUAAACACAAGUUUUAAGUUUGAAAGAUGCAAUUGCAUCACUCAAAGAUGAUCCCGCGUUGUAUUAGCUAGUUGGUGAGGUAAAGGCUCACCAAGGCGAUGAUACAUAGCCGACCUGAGAGGGUGAUCGGCCACAUUGGGACUGAGACACGGCCCAAACUCCUACGGGAGGCAGCAGUAGGGAAUCUUCGGCAAUGGACGAAAGUCUGACCGAGCAACGCCGCGGGAGUGAAGAAGGGUUUCGGAUCGUAAAACUCUGUUGGUAGAGAAGAACGUUGGUGAGAGUGGAAAGCUCACCAAGUGACGGUAACUACCCAGAAAGGGACGGCUAACUACGUG
rnacentral:rRNA from 1 species